UGUCUGACACUUGCCCUGUGUGACCACAGCCCAGCACCUGACUCUAUUGGACACAGAAGGGCCAACCACACCCCCCUCAACACACACACACACACACACACGACUUUGGAUAAGGAGGAAUUCGUGACUCGGCAGAAUGAAAGUGAACAUUUAAUGCACCAUUUGAUCUUCUUAAACACCAGGAUCUCCUUUGACAACACUGUGCACCUCGUGUGCCGCAGACAAUGUCUCACACGGAAAUGGCAGCAGCUCGUGGCUCGCGGCCCCAGUCUACGCGACCAUUGCUCCGGUGCCAGGGGGUCCUCUGGUUGCCUGCCGUCCGGGCCCCGUGGGGACGGCUGACUGGCCACCCAGCUGUGCACAGGCCCAGGCACAGACCAGCCUCCUUCUAACGGGCUGCCGGGCCCUGCCCACGGACAGAGUCGCUGCAUUUCCGACUAUAACAGAUGAACUUUAUUAAACAUUUUCAACAGCAAACACGCGUAAGCUAAGAACUCCAUGUUCAAAACGGCACCAAUCUUUUAUCCAGUUAAACAGUGAAUUUCAAACAAUGACAUUAAAUACAACCAUUGACUUUGCCAACAGGAUUUCAUGAACUUGGUGAAUGUUCUGUUUCAGACACGAUAAAUGCACUUGGGCAGGCCUUGCCGCCAACGUCCAGCGGGCCCGUGGCUACGCGAAGCAUAUUUACAUACACAGACAUACGUGACGGAGCUGGAGGAGCCACAGAGGCAUUUAGCACAACGUCCCCGUUUUACAGACCAGACAGUUCCAGCGAAGUCAGGCCACCCCCAAAGCCACAGGACCAGGUUCAGAACCGGGUCAGAGCCGGGCUCCUGUCCUGCCUCCUCACCACGCCGCAGACCUUCGCACACAUGCACCCGCCCCGCCCCAUGCACACACGUCAGCGCCUCCGUGUGGUGCAUCACCGGACACACGCACCUGGAGCCGCAGCAGCUGGCGGAGGAGCCCCAGACACACGCGGGCUCGAGCCAGUCCUGCCAGGAACCCCGCGGUGCACGGCCACCUGCUGACUCAGCGCCCCGUCUCCCGCCACGGCCCCCCUUUCUUCAAAGCCCGUUACCCCCUCUGCUACCCGCUUUCUCUCCACACGGCCCCAGAGGGCAGCUCUCGGGACCCCGACCCUCCCUGGGGAGCCCGAGGCUCAGCACAGUCCAGCGGCCCGUCCGGGCUGCACAGCAGGCGUCCUCACUCCGCAAUCCCUCCUGCUCACCUGCCUCUGCCAUGAGCCGGGGACCCCAGCCCUCCCGCUCCAGCCCCCUCAGGGGGGCGGGGACCAGACCCCCCACGCAUUUCGGGCUGUAAGACUCACUAAAGUGCUUUGGUUUCUCCAGGAAGAGGCGGUGCAGUGUGUCCCAGAUUUCAGCCUCGAACCAGCCGGCUCCUCUCCACCGCCCCCCGGCCCCCCGCCCAGGACCACGGAGGCAGAUUUCCAAGCUCCUCAUCAUCAAACUCAGAAGGAAGGUACCUCUUCCCCGUCAGCUGCUCACAUAGAAACAGCUCAGCCUGGAGCUGGCCCUGUGCUGGCAGGACUGGGCCCUCAUCCCUGUUCUCCUGGCUUCAUUCUUCCUCUUCCCUCCCCGGCCCCUGACUCGCCCCAGGGAGGGGAAGAGCUCCCCGCAGACCCACCGAACGCAUGCGGACGUGGAGGCGCGGAUGGCAGCGCCCACCCUGACGCACAGGGAAGUGAUAGGUCGCAGGCGGUGCUCCUGAGCCACAUCCUGAUUUACAAGUAAAUCGCAGCCUCGUUAGUCGGAGGUGACGGGGUGUCGGGCAGCAGAAGGGAGGAUGCAAGAAAUGAGCCUUUUUCGCUGCCGAUGUGAUUUCUAUGUCCACGCGAGGGGGCGCCCGUGGGGCCUCGGCCUCACCCCUCCGCGUGGGCGUGGACGGCUUUGCGGGGGGCGGAGAGGAAGUCGGCUACGUGCAAGGAAGGCUUCACCGCCUCCAGCUCCGCGUGCCCCCCACUGUGACACCAUCGGUUCUGAGUCGGGCCGCCCCAAGGCAGAUGUGUUGGUUUCGAGGUGGAUUAAAGCAGCUUCUAAGAAUCUUCAAAAAGCUUUUCUGGGAGAAUAUGAGUUUGAACGGUAAGCACGUCUCGUGGAUUGGAACCGUGUUUUUAUCUGGAAAUGAUAAGCCGUUUAUAACAGAAAAAUUAUGUGUUUGUCAGGAAGACUGCUGAGCGACGCAGUUUGUGGGUUUUUAUGGGUGUUGACGGAUCUGCUGGAGGAGGAGGAAGAG